CGCAGCCGCGGUAAUUCCAGCUCCAAUAGCGUAUAUUAAAGUUGUUGCAGUUAAAAAGCUCGUAGUUGAAUUUCGGGGUUAGUAGGUUGGUCAUGCCUCUGGUAUGUACUGGUCUCACUGAUUCCUCCUUCCUGAUGAACCUUAAUGCCAUUAAUUUGGUGUUUUGGGGAAUUUGGACUGUUACUUUGAAAAAAUUAGAGUGUUUAAAGCAAGCUAACGCUUGAAUACAUUAGCAUGGAAUAAUGAAAUAGGACGUUCGAUCCUAUUUUGUUGGUUUCUAGGAUUGACGUAAUGAUUAAUAGGGAUAGUUGGGGGCAUUAGUAUUCAAUUGUCAGAGGUGAAAUUCUUGGAUUUAUUGAAGACUAACUACUGCGAAAGCAUUUGCCAAGGAUGUUUUCAUUAAUCGAGAACGAAAGUUAGGGGAUCGAAGACGAUCAGAUACCGUCGUAGUCUUAACCAUAAACUAUGCCGACUAGGGAUCGGAUGAUGUUAAUUUUUAAUGACUCAUUCGGCGCCUUAC
rnacentral:rRNA from 1 species